UACGUAGGGACCAAGCGUUGUUCGGAUUCACUGGGCGUAAAGGGUGCGUAGGCGGUUCUGAAAGUCUGAUGUGAAAUCUCCAGGCCCAACCUGGAAAUGGCAUUAGAAACUACAGGGCUAGAGGCUUGGAGGGGGAACUGGAAUGCUCGGUGUAGCAGUGAAAUGCGUAGAGAUCGAGCGGAACACCAGUGGCGAAGGCGAGUUCCUGGACAAGUCCUGACGCUGAGGCACGAAAGCCAGGGGAGCAAACAGG
rnacentral:rRNA from 1 species